AUGGAGGACGCCUACGCCAAGUCCGCCGCGGAGGUGCUCCAAGCGUUCGGCGUGGACCGGACCAAGGGCCUCUCCGACUCGCAGGUGGAGCAGCAUGCCUUGCUUCACGGCAAAAACGUGCUGCCCCAAGAAGAAAGUACCCCCUUCUGGAAGUUAGUUUUGAAACAGUUUGAUGAUUUACUCGUCAAAAUAUUGAUAGCAGCUGCUGUGGUAUCCUUCCUUUUGGCUCGAUUGAAUGGUGAAACUGGAUUAACAGCAUUUUUGGAACCAUCUGUCAUAUUUAUGAUAUUAGCAGCAAAUGCAGCAGUUGGUGUGAUCACAGAAACAAAUGCUGAAAAAGCUCUCGAGGAGUUGCGAGCAUAUCAAGCAGAUGUUGCAACGGUGCUUCGCAAUGGUUGCUUUUCUAUACUUCCAGCAACAGAACUUGUCCCUGGAGAUAUUGUAGAAGUGGGAGUUGGUUGCAAAGUUCCAGCUGACAUGAGAAUGGUUGAAAUGCUAAGCCAUCAAUUGCGUGUUGACCAGGCAAUUCUGACAGGGGAAAGCUGUUCAGUGGCUAAAGAGCUUGAUUCAACUUCAGCAAUGAAUGCUGUCUACCAGGACAAAACAAACAUUCUUUUCUCGGGUACUGUUGUUGUAGCUGGUAGAGCAAGAGCUGUCGUUAUUGGUGUUGGUUCUAAUACUGCAAUGGGAAGUAUACGUGAUGCAAUGCUGAGAACAGAGGAUGAAGCGACUCCACUGAAGAAAAAACUGGACGAAUUUGGCACAUUUCUGGCAAAGGUUAUAGCAGGGAUCUGUAUUCUUGUUUGGGUUGUAAAUAUUGGCCAUUUCCGAGAUCCUUCUCAUGGUGGCUUUCUUAGGGGUGCCAUUCAUUAUUUUAAGGUAGCAGUUGCCCUUGCUGUUGCAGCCAUUCCAGAAGGUCUCCCAGCUGUAGUAACAACGUGCUUAGCUCUUGGUACCAAGAGAAUGGCUCGCUUGAAUGCCAUCGUAAGGUCUUUGCCCUCUGUGGAGACAUUAGGAUGCACAACAGUCAUUUGCUGUGACAAAACUGGCACUCUUACGACAAACAUGAUGUCAGUGUCUAAGGUAUGUGUUGUGCGGUCUGUGCACCAGAGACCAAUAACUGAUGAGUACUCUAUUAGUGGAACCACAUUUGCUCCUGAUGGGUUUAUAUAUGACGCCAGUGAAAAUCAGCUGGAGUUUCCUCCUCAGUCCCCAUGUCUCCUUCAUAUAGCCAUGUGUUCAGCUCUUUGCAAUGAGUCCACUUUACAGUACAAUCCUGAUAAAAAAAGUUAUGAGAAGAUUGGAGAGUCCACUGAAGUUGCUCUGCGCGUUCUGGUGGAGAAGGUCGGUCUUCCUGGCUUUGAUUCGAUGCCUUCAGCUCUGAACAUGCUAACUAAGCAUGAGCGUGCAUCGUACUGCAAUCACUAUUGGGAAAAUCAGUUCAGAAAGAUAUCAGUUCUAGACUUUUCCCGAGAUCGCAAAAUGAUGAGCGUCCUUUGCAGUCGAAAACAACAGGAGAUUAUGUUUUCAAAAGGUGCCCCUGAAAGUGUAAUGGCAAGAUGCACACAUAUAUUGUGCAAUGAUGAUGGGUCUUCUGUACCAUUGACUAUGGACAUACGUAAUGAGCUGGAAGCUAGAUUUCAAAGUUUUGCAGGAAAAGAUACCCUAAGGUGCCUAGCAUUAGCAUUAAAACGAAUGCCAGAAGGCCAACAAAGUCUUUCCUAUGAUGAUGAGGCAAAUUUAACAUUUAUUGGAUUGGUUGGGAUGCUUGACCCUCCAAGAGAUGAAGUUCACAGUGCUAUCCAUUCUUGUAUGUCAGCAGGGAUUCGUGUUAUUGUUGUUACUGGGGAUAACAAGUCCACUGCAGAAUCUCUAUGUCGGCAAAUUGGUGCGUUUGAGCAUUUAGAUGACUUUACAGGGUAUUCAUAUACAGCAUCAGAAUUUGAAGGGCUUCCUCCUUUGGAAAGGGCAAAUGCAUUGCGAAGGAUGGUUCUGUUCUCCAGAGUGGAACCUUCUCAUAAGAAGAUGCUUGUUGAAGCCUUGCAAUCACAUAAUGAAGUGGUUGCAAUGACUGGUGAUGGAGUCAAUGAUGCACCUGCCCUGAAAAAAGCAGAUAUAGGAAUAGCUAUGGGAUCAGGAACUGCUGUUGCGAAGAGUGCUUCAGAUAUGGUAUUGGCUGAUGACAACUUUGCUACAAUUGUUGCAGCUGUUGCAGAGGGAAGGGCCAUAUAUAAUAACACCAAGCAGUUUAUUCGAUACAUGAUUUCAUCAAAUAUUGGGGAGGUAGUUUGUAUUUUUGUGGCAGCGGUGCUUGGGAUGCCUGACACACUUGUACCUGUCCAGCUACUCUGGGUAAACCUUGUUACUGACGGGUUGCCUGCAACUGCAAUUGGUUUUAACAAGCCUGAUGGCAAUAUCAUGGCAGUUAAGCCUCGUAAGGUGAACGAAGCUGUGGUCAGUGGAUGGCUCUUUUUCCGCUAUUUAGUCAUUGGUGCUUAUGUUGGUCUUGCCACUAUAGCGGGGUUCGUUUGGUGGUUUGUUUAUUCUGAAGAUGGUCCUAGACUACCAUACUCUGAAUUGAUCAAUUUUGAUUCAUGUUCAACCAGGCAAACUUCAUAUCCUUGCAGCAUCUUUGAGGAUCGCCAUCCAUCAACUGUUUCAAUGACUGUUCUUGUUGUUGUCGAGAUGUUUAAUGCCUUGAAUAACCUAAGUGAAAAUCAAUCUCUACUUGUCAUUCACCCAUGGAGUAACCUAUGGCUUGUUGGGUCAAUCAUUCUGACAAUGCUUCUUCACGUAGCAGUCUUGUAUACGGAACCCCUGUCAGCUCUUUUCUCAGUGUCUCCAUUAACUUUGGCUGAGUGGAAAGUUGUUCUUUACCUAUCCUUCCCUGUAAUUUUGAUCGAUGAGGUGUUGAAAUUUUUCUCAAGAAGACCUCAAGCUUGGAGUUUUCCUUUACGGUUAUGGAGACGCGAAAUGCUUCCUAAAGAAGCCCGAGAUAAUUAA
rnacentral:rRNA from 1 species